GCCGAUGUAGCUCAGCCGGUAGAGCAACUGAUUCGUAAUCAGUAGGUCCGCGGUUCAAAUCCGCGCAUCGGCUCCA
rnacentral:tRNA from 1 species